rnacentral:rRNA from 1 species
UACGUAGGGUGCAAGCGUUACUCGGAAUUACUGGGCGUAAAGCGUGCGUAGGUGGUUUGUUAAGUCUGAUGUGAAAGCCCUGGGCUCAACCUGGGAACUGCAUUGGAUACUGGCUUACUAGAGUGCGGUAGAGGGGUGUGGAAUUCCCGGUGUAGCAGUGAAAUGCGCAGAUAUCGGGAAGAACACCCGUGGCGAAGGCGGCUACUCUGGGACGGU